GGGAGUAUAUGCUUAUGGGCUCUGUCUAGAGCAGCUUCCAGCCAAUCAGCAUGCAGAAACUCCUGACUCAGGCUUGGAGAAGCUGGGGUCACACGGAAUCAGUGUCCUGCAUAUUAUCUCCACUGUAUAGGAAAAGGGACCCCUGGCUGCGAGUGGACUGUGGAAGAAUUGAGUGGUCCAAGUGGCUCAUUUGUCUGGGAGGAAAAUUCCAGCUCACUUAUUUUUCCUGUGUGGUGAGGCUGAGAAGCAGGGGCCCAAAUGGUCCUGGGAGAUUCAAGGCGGCCUCCAAAUGUUUUUCAUUAUUUUUACCCAACCCCAGCGAGACUGGAUAGAGACACAGAAAAAGGCUAGGCACAAGGAGGAGUCACCCCCACCCCCACGUGACCUCUUGCAGCCUGAGUCAGGAGAUUCUGCAUACAGACUGGAAACUUCCCUACACAGAAACCUUAUGCAGAACUAUAGGCCCUUCCUAAGAACACCACAGACAAGGUUAUAAACACAGCUGGGAAAACAUGCUUGGGAUAAAAACACAUGUCUUAAUCUCUUGGUGGAA